AGUUUUAACGCGUCAAUUGUGUUUUUAGAAAUGUUUCGUCUUAAUUAAUUGAACAUUUUUAGUGAAUUUUAGAGAAAUCAUGCGCACUGAAUCAUAACGGGUAAUAUCUUGCGGGAGAGUCUUGGUUUGCGGGCUUACAAAGUCCAACUCGUGCAAUAAUUGCAGCCGAACGACUAUCGAGCGCGUCGCAUGUUUGGUGAAUGGGCUCAAAACGAGUUAGCCACCGAAACCGUGGCAUUCUAAGGUUGGAAAAACGAUUGCGGUAAACAGCUUGGGAGACUAGCUUUAGAGAUCAAAAUAAUCAAAUUUCAGUAAAAAUAUUGAAGGUUGGAACAACAAACUUCCUUAUAUAAUAUGAGCAAAUCCUGCAUAUUACAAAUGUUCUUAACUGGAAGCCCACUUUGGAGUACGAAACAAGAUUUCUGGAUAAAAAGAAUAC